UAAUACGGGGGGAGCAAGCGUUGUUCGGAUUUACUGGGCGUAAAGGGCGCGUAGGCGGCCUCCGCAAGUCAGUUGUGAAAUCUCCGAGCUUAACUCGGAAAGGUCAACUGAUACUGCGGGGCUAGAGUGCGGAAGGGGCAACUGGAAUUCUUGGUGUAGCGGUGAAAUGCGUAGAUAUCAAGAGGAACACCUGCGGCGAAGGCGGGUUGCUGGGCCGACACUGACGCUGAGGCGCGAAAGCUAGGGGAGCGAACGGGAUUAGAUACCCCGGUAGUCCUAGCCUUAAACGAUGAAUGCUUGGUGUCUGGGGUUAUAUAGUCCCCGGGUGCCGUCGCUAACGCUUUAAGCAUUCCGCCUGGGGAGUACGGUCGCAAGACUG
rnacentral:rRNA from 1 species